AGCAGCCGCGGUAAUUCCAGCUCCAAUAGCGUAUAUUAAAGUUGUUGCAGUUAAAAAGCUCGUAGUUGAAUUUCGGGAUCAGUAUGUUGGUCGUGCUUCGGUACGUACUGUCAUUACUGGUUUCUACCUUCUGAAGAACCUUGAUGUCAUUAAUUUGGUGUCUUGGGGAAUCAGGACUGUUACUUUGAAAAAAUUAGAGUGUUUAAAGCAAGCAUACGCUUGAAUACAUUAGCAUGGAAUAAUGAAAUAGGACGUUUGAUUCUAUUUUGUUGGUUUCUAGGAUCGACGUAAUGAUUAAUAGGGAUAGUUGGGGGCAUUAGUAUUCAAUUGUCAGAGGUGAAAUUCUUGGAUUUAUUGAAGACUAACUACUGCGAAAGCAUUUGCCAAGGAUGUUUUCAUUAAUCAAGAACGAAAGUUAGGGGAUCGAAGACGAUCAGAUACCGUCGUAGUCUUAACCAUAAACUAUGCCGACUAGGGAUC
rnacentral:rRNA from 1 species